UCCUAAGAUGUAUCCUAAGUUGAUGUUCGUUUCCUUUAGUAACACGUCGGUGGCACCUGAAAGACUCCACACUUGGAGUCGAAACUCUACUAGUUUCUGUUGGAGGUAAUUCUCUCGCUGCUGCUGCUGCUGCAUGCUUUCUUCGGGCAGUUUAGAAGCUGGGAAAAUCACACCGCGUGUAAACACGGGAACGUAGCAAAAUACCAUGCAAAGUUACCAAGACAAACAUAUUGUGCCAAACAUACAAAAAGUCUCCAUGUGAUCCGAGCUUACUUGUCGGUGUAUUUUACUUUGUCACGGUAAGGCUUGACCAGAACACGAGCUCCGCAAACAUAGUGGGGAUUGCCUUCGGCCAGAAUGGUCUUGACAGUUUCUCCAUGGAUGAAGGUUACGAAUCCAAACAUACGCUUCUGCUGAUAAGGGAUUCGUACGUCCUGAACAGGACCAUAAGCGCUGGCAAGCAAGCAACAAGGCAGCUACAUGAGAGUGAAAGCGCUCUCAGCAGGGAACGUCAAAUAUAUCUGACGAGAGCUGGGACUUACGAUGCCAUUAUGAUCAUAAUUAUCUCCACGAUGAGCCGCAACCGCAAGCCUGGAACUUUCUUCAACCAGGACGACUGCCUGCUGUCCAUUGGGCCUGAGAAGCGAACUACUUGUCAGACGCAUGCAAGACGGACUCGAACGAAGAUCGAUCGGCUUACUGAUCGAUGACGAGAGUGUUCUUCAUAUGGCAAAGCAGGCUGGUUAAACCGGAUCCUUGUACGGCCUCGGGAGUCGCCAGGAACCCGUCAACGUGGAGAGCGCUCCCGAAUUCCUCGAAGUACAUCUGCGGAAGCAACGAGAUUGGCACCGGUGACUUUCUGGCACGGAGCAGCUCUUGAAUCUCCAAU